UUCUCCCAGUUUCGGUUUUCAUGAUUAUACAUCUACCAUAUAUAGCCGAAAUAAUGGCACCGAAGAAUUAAUUUAAGAAGAAAUGGAGUACGAAACUGCGGUGGGAUUUCUGCUAGAAAACUUAAAGCAGCUACUUCUUUACAAUGCACAUCUGAUUGAUGUGAAGAGCGAUGUCGAAUCUCUGCAAAACGAACUGCAAUUGCUCAAAGCCUUUCUCAAAGAUAUGGCAAAAUGGGACAACAACCCUGAAGUCCUAAAUACAAUCGUGAAGCAAAUCAGAGAUAUUGUGUACGAAGCAGAAGACUAUGUGGACGUGUAUGUUGCUCAUUCAGCUAUGCAGAAGGCUCGAAAUGGCUUAAAGAAAGUUAUCCAUAUAUUCGAUCAUACGACGAAGCUUCGAGAUAUGGCAGAGAAGAUUAAGUCUAUAAGGGCCAUGGUCAACGAUACAUAUCAGAACAAGAAAUUUGGGUUUGAAGCCCUGCUAGUUGCUGCUCCUCUCGUCGAAAAGAAAGAGAUGAACAGGUUGUGUUAAUCAUUGAUGGAGAGAAUCGGUGCUUCUUUAAUUGUUGGGUAGAUCAACGUUCUUAUUGUGCUCCACUUUAUGCGCAAUCAUGUGAAGAUUUUGGAGAUGAGUUGUAGGAGUACUUGUUAUUUGGAGUCCAAUGUCGGUACUUAAUUAAAAUGAGGGAUCAUCCGCCUUGGUCGGAUCAUAUUCUUGAGGACAAGUUGCCAUUUGUAUUGUUAUCAACCGUGGAGUUCUGAUAUUUGGUUCUUCAAAAAGAUCGUCCACCGUGGUAUGAGUUCAGACAUUGAAGAUUGACGGUAGCUCAUCGUCAUUUGUUCACUCGACAGAGUCGAGUUUUUCUUCCACCCCGGGAGAAUUGAUGCGGACAUCACUUAUAUUAUUAUCGCACUAUUUUACUUUUCUAGUUAUUGGGCUUGUAUUAUUGGUUUGGCCCAAACCUAUUAUUGGUAGGGUUAUGCUUUUACUAUUUAUAUGGUUUUCAGUUGUAAUUUCAUUAGAUGAUGAAUUGAUUAAAUUGCGUUUGGUUGAGCCACGUUUCUUCCCCUCUUCUUCUUCCCCCCUCGGUUCCCCUUCUUCUCUUCUCCUCCCUUUUCCUUCUUCUUUCUUUCUUAUUCAUCCUACAUCACACAGCCUAAUCAAGGUACUUAUUCACCUUCCAACCCUGACUUCGAAAUGUGUCGUCGCCCUUUUCCAUCAAUUCCAGAAUUUCGAAUUAUCUCUCUUCAAAACCAAUCGGUCCACAUGUUCGGUCUUUUUUGUGUUUCGCCCAUGAAGAAAUAACCUUGCAAAAUGAGCAAAAUUCUUCCAUCCCUGGUGCAUUUAAAUUGCUCAGGGUGUUAGACAGUAAACCCAUCCAUUUCACUCGUUUUCCUCCUGACCUAACUCUACUUGUUCAUUUGAGGUAUCUUGUUCUGUCGUGGGACUUCAAAAUACUUCCAGCAGCCCUUUCCAGCCUUUGGAACAUACAAACUCUUGUAAUUGAGACAUCAUCAUGCACCCUUGAAAUCAUAGCAGAUGUAUGGAAUGUGAUUCAAAUGAGGCAUCUAAAAACAAACGCAUCCACAACAUUGAAAGGCCCUCUUGCUAAAUCAAGAAAAAGUGAAGAAGCAUCUUCGAACUUCAAAACACUUCCUGCAAUAUCACCUGAAAGUUGUACAGAAGAUGUCGUUUCUGCAGCUCCAAACCUAAGAGAAUUGGGUAUUCAGGGCAAUUUAGCUAAACUAUUUGAUACCAAGGGUACUGGAUCUAGUUUGUUUGACAAUCUGGGAAAAUUGGUUUACCUUGAAAAUUUGAAGCUAUGGAAUGAUGCAUUUCCUCCUGAAGGAAAAAUAUAUAGCCUUCCCCAAAGCUACAAAUUCCCAUUGAAGCUAAAGAAGCUAACAAUAGUAAGCACCAGGAUCGUUUGGUGGCAUAUUUCUACUUUGGGACUGUUGGAAGGCCUUGAGAUCCUGAAGUUGAAAGAAAAUGCAUUCAGAGGGGACCGUUGGAAGUCCCAGGAUGGAGGUUUCCGUUCUCUGAUAGUCUUGUAUAUUGGAAGGACAGAUUUAGUUUUGUGGGAGGCUUCUGCUCUUCAUUUCCCACGACUCAAGUGCCUCCGUCUUAAUUACUGCAGCAAGCUUCAUGAAGUCCCAUUCGAACUGGCCAAUGUUCCAAGCUUCCAGAUAUUGGACUUGAACUGUACCAGCAGAUCAGCAGCUAAAUCUGCCAAGAAAAUUUCGGAGCAUUAAAAGCAAAUUGGUGGUAGUGGAUUUAAGCUUUCGAUUUACCCUUCAGAUCAUGAUCAAUGAUCUCCAUUUGUUCAAAGCUCAUAAAUGCUACUUCACAGGCAGAUAAUUAGACGAACAAUGAUGUCAUGAGUGUUGAAUAAAGGAAGUUUAGAUGCGUGGAGCCACUGUUUCUUUUCCCUGUCUUUUUACAUUUCGUUCAAUAAAAAGUUGCACUUCAUUUAAAUGUAUGUUGAACAUCAGAAUAUUGGUAUUUCUUUUUAUUCAGUGGGUUGUAUUGCUGUAAUCAUUAGACCUUGCUUUAGCUUUUCACUAUGGAAUUACUGCUGCUUUCAUUUUACCUACUUAUAAUUUUUUUUCU